UGGCUGUGAUGGCUCUUAGCGGAAGUGCACACUCUUUUGUACUUUAUGUUUGUUAAAAUUUAAGAGCGAAGUGUCCGGCUCGAUCCCUGCGAAUGGAAUUUUGGCCACUUGAGUAAUCAGUGUCUGCCAAGUUCUGGUAAUAUUUAGCAUAACCACUGGAGGGAAGCAAUUCAGCACAGUAAUGUUAAUCGUGGUGGAGGCGAAUCCGGAUGGCACUUUGUUUGUUAAUAAACUUACUGGUAUGUGGUGCUACGACUCUUAGUU
rnacentral:SRP_RNA from 1 species